GUGGGGUAUGGCGAUAUGGCGCCAAAAACAUACAUCGGCAUGUUCGUGGGCGCCCUGUGCGCCCUGGCCGGUGUACUAACCAUUGCACUGCCAGUGCCCGUUAUAGUUAGCAAC
rfam:Drosophila persimilis strain MSH-3 cont1.001046, whole genome shotgun sequence.